UACGUAGGGUGCGAGCGUUGUCCGAAAUUAUUGGGCGUAAAGGGCUCGUAGGCGGUUUGUCGCGUCGGGAGUGAAAUCCACUGGCUUAACUGGUGGCUUGCGGUCGAUACGGGCAGGCUCGAGUUCGGUAGAGGAGCGUGGAAUUCCCAGUGUAGAGGUGAAAUUCGUAGAUAUUGGGAAGAACACCGGUGGCGAAGGCGGCGCUCUGGACCGAGACUGACGCUGAGGCGCGAAAGCGUGGGGAGCAAACAGG
rnacentral:rRNA from 1 species